rnacentral:rRNA from 1 species
CACGUAGGGCGCAAGCGUUUGUCCGGAAUUAUUGGGCGUAAAGAGCUCGUAGGUGGUUUGUUACGUCUGCUGUGAAAACCUAGGGCUUAACCCUGGGCUUGCAGUGGAUACGGGCAGACUAGAGGUAGGUAGGGGAGAAUGGAAUUCCUGGUGUAGCGGUGAAAAUGCGCAGAUAUCAGGAGGAACACCGGUGGCGAAGGCGGCCUUCUGGACCAGCACUGACGCUGAGACACGAAAGCGUGGGUAGCAAACAGG